rnacentral:rRNA from 1 species
CCUACGGGUGGCUGCAGUGGGGAAUAUUGGACAAUGGGCGAAAGCCUGAUCCAGCCAUGCCGCGUGUGUGAAGAAGGCCUUCGGGUUGUAAAGCACUUUCAGUGGGGAAGAAAGCCUUGGGGCUAAUACCCUCGAGGAAGGACAUCACCCACAGAAGAAGCACCGGCUAACUCCGUGCCAGCAGCCGCGGUAAUACGGAGGGGGCGAGCGUUAAUCGGAAUUACUGGGCGUAAAGCGCGCGUAGGCGGUCUGAUAAGCCGGUUGUGAAAGCCCCGGGCUCAACCUGGGAACGGCAUCCGGAACUGCCAGGCUAGAGUGCAGGAGAGGAAGGUAGAAUUCCCGGUGUAGCGGUGAAAUGCGUAGAGAUCGGGAGGAAUACCAGUGGCGAAGGCGGUCUUCUGGACUGACACUGACGCUGAGGUGCGAAAGCGUGGGUAGCAAACAGGAUUAGAUACCCGAGUAGUC